rnacentral:rRNA from 1 species
AUUGAACGCUGGCGGCAGGCCUAACACAUGCAAGUCGAGCGGAUGAAGGGGGCUUGCUCCUGGAUUCAGCGGCGGACGGGUGAGUAAUGCCUAGGAAUCUGCCUGGUAGUGGGGGAUAACGUCCGGAAACGGGCGCUAAUACCGCAUACGUCCUGAGGGAGAAAGUGGGGGAUUUUCGGACCUCACGCUAUCAGAUGAGCCUAGGUCGGAUUAGCUAGUUGGUGGGGUAAAGGCCUACCAAGGCGACGAUCCGUAACUGGUCUGAGAGGAUGAUCAGUCACACUGGAACUGAGACACGGUCCAGACUCCUACGGGAGGCAGCAGUGGGGAAUAUUGGACAAUGGGCGAAAGCCUGAUCCAGCCAUGCCGCGUGUGUGAAGAAGGUCUUCGGAUUGUAAAGCACUUUAAGUUGGGAGGAAGGGCAGUAAGUUAAUACCUUGCUGUUUUGACGUUACCAACAGAAUAAGCACCGGCUAACUUCGUG